CACAGGGUACUCGAGUGGCGAACGGGUGAGUAACACGUGGGUGAUCUGCCCUGCACUGUGGGAUAAGCCUGGGAAACUGGGUCUAAUACCAUAUAGGACCGCAUCUUGGAUGGUGUGGUGGAAAGCUUUUGCGGUGUGGGAUGAGCCUGCGGCCUAUCAGCUUGUUGGUGGGGUAAUGGCCUACCAAGGCGGCGACGGGUAUCCGGCCUGAGAGGGUGUACGGACACAUUGGGACUGAGAUACGGCCCAGACUCCUACGGGAGGCAGCAGUGGGGAAUAUUGCACAAUGGGCGCAAGCCUGAUGCAGCGACGCCGCGUGGGGGAUGAAGGCCUUCGGGUUGUAAACUCCUUUCGCUAUCGA
rnacentral:rRNA from 1 species